GGACAGAUAGCUCAGUGGUAGAGGUAUAUUAAUGGAUGUCUCACAUUGGCAUCCACGAAUGCUAAAAAACGUAUCAGCGAGGGAUUGCAGAUCCCUAGGUCGCGUGUUCGAUCCACGCUCGGUCCU
rnacentral:tRNA from 1 species